rnacentral:rRNA from 1 species
UGGGAACGUGCCUUUCGGUUCGGGAUAACCCAGGGAAACUUGGGCUAAUACCGGAUACGCCCUUCGGGGGAAAGAUUCAUUGCCGAAAGAUCGGCCCGCGUCGGAUUAGCUUGUUGGUGGGGUAAUGGCCUACCAAGGCGACGAUCCGUAGC